rnacentral:rRNA from 1 species
UACAGAGGGUGCGAGCGUUGUCCGGAAUCACUGGGCGUAAAGGGCGCGUAGGUGGUGGCUUAAGCGUGCGGUGAAAGCUCGGGCGUCACAUCGACGUCGGCCGUGCGAACUGGGCUCACUGGAGCAUAGUAGAGGCAGGUGGAAUUCCGGGUGUAGCGGUGGAAUGCGUAGAGAUCCGGAAGAACACCGGUGGCGAAGGCGGCCUGCUGGGCUAUGGGCUGACACUGAGGCGCGACAGCGUGGGGAGCAAACAGGG